rnacentral:tRNA from 1 species
GGGAAGGUGGCUCAGUGGUAGAGCGCUUGCCUUGUGUGCGUGAGGCCCUGGGUUCGAUUCCUCAGCACCCU